UCCUGUAUCGAAAGUGAUCAUGGCGUCCUCGUCGCCAGGUCAUUGAUAGUACAGGAAGAUGAAUCUGGAAGCCUUUCCCUGUGUCUGAAGGAUCCUCCGUUCCUAUCAGACCCUGGCGCUCCCAAACA